AGUGAACGCUGGCGGUAGGCCUAACACAUGCAAGUCGAACGGCAGCACAGUAAGAGCUUGCUCUUACGGGUGGCGAGUGGCGGACGGGUGAGGAAUACAUCUGAAUCUACUUUUUCGUGGGGGAUAACGUAGGGAAACUUACGCUACUACCGCAUACGACCUACGGGUGAAAGCAGGGGAUCUUCGGACCUUGCGCGAUUGAAUGAGCCGAUGUCGGAUUAGCUAGUUGGCGGGGUAAAGGCCCACCAAGGCGACGAUCCGUAGCUGGUCUGAGAGGAUGAUCAGCCACACUGGAACUGAGACACGGUCCAGACUCCUACGGGAGGCAGCAGUGGGGAAUAUUGGACAAUGGGCGCAAGCCUGAUCCAGCCAUACCGCGUGGGUGAAGAAGGCCUUCGGGUUGUAAAGCCCUUUUGUUGGGAAAGAAAAGCAGCAGGUUAAUACCCCGCUGUUCUGACGGUACCCAAAGAAUAAGCACCGGCUAACUACGUG
rnacentral:rRNA from 1 species